rnacentral:rRNA from 1 species
GACAGAGGUGCCGAGCGUUUAGGCGGAAUCACUGGGCUUAAAGCGUGUGUAGGCGGAUUCCUAAGUACCUUGUGAAAUCCCACGGCUUAACCGUGGAACUGCUUGGUAUACUGGGUGUCUUGAGCCAACUAGAGGCAGUCGGAACAAACGGUGGAGCGGUGAAAUGCGUAGAUAUCGUUUGGAACGCCAAUGGUGAAAACAGGAACUGCUGGGGUUGUGGCUGACGCUGAGACACGAAAGCCAGGGGA